UCAUGCCCAGCUGAUUUUUGUAUUUUUAGUAGAGACGGGUUUUCACCAUGUUGCCCAGGCUGGUCUUGAGCUCCUGACCUCAGGUGAUCCGCCCGCCUUGGCCUCCUAAAAUGUUGGCAUAUACAGGGGUGAGCCACUGCACCUGGCCUCAUUCUCAUUAAUAGCUCAAGUUUGUGGCCACUGAAACAUUCUCCUACCUACCAUGAGAACAGGCCCAAUUUCCUGGUGCAACAUCUUCCAACAGUGGCAGUAAUGUUCCCAUUUAAACAAUACAACCGGAUGUGGGAAUGAAACCCAGUGUAUUAUGCCCUCCUCCACCUCUAACUGGUUUUUAAACCCACAAACCCUCUCCAAUCAAGGAGGCGGGGACCUGUUCUGUGAGCACGUUGUUAUGGGACAUCUAACUCUCAGUCUCCAAAGUUUUGCUUUGCAGCUCUCCCAGAGGGAACAGACUGAUUCCACCUCUUCGUUUCCACUGCCACUGCCCCGAUCCCUCAAGCCACCAUCAUCUCUUGCCAGGCAGCUGCAAUAGUCUGUCUCAUAACUGGUAUUCCUGCCUCCACCUUUGCUCCUUAGAAUCCAGUCUCUACACAGUGGCCAGAACAAUCUUUUGGAACAAAUCAGACUUUAUUCUUUCUCUGCUUAAAACCCUCCAAUGGCCUCUAACUGUUCUUGGAAUAAAAUCCAAACUCUUUAUUACGACCUACAAAAUCUUUGUUUUGAUCUACAGGUUCUUUUUCUCCACCCCCGCCCAAGACGGAGUUUUGCUCUGUUGCCCAGGCUGGAGUGCAGUGGCGCAAUCUCGGCUCACCGCAACCUCCGCCUCCCAGGUUCAGGAAAUUCUCCUGCCUCAGCCUCCCAAGUAGCUGGGACUACAGGCAUGCACCACCACGCUCAGCUAAUUUUUGUAUUUUUAGUAGAGACAGGGUUUCACCAUGUUGGUCAGGAUGGUCUCGAACUCCUGACCUCGUGAUCUGCCCGCCUUGGCCUCCCAAAGUGCUGGGAUUACAGGCAUGAACCACUGAGUCCGCCCUGAUCCACAGAUUCUUUUUUUUUUUUUUUUUUUUUGAGACGGAGUCUCGCUCUGUCGCCCAGACUGGAGUGCAGUGGCGUGACCUCGGCUCACUGCAAGUUCCACCUCCCGGGUUCACGCCAUUCUCCUGCCUCAGCCUCUCCGAGUAGCUGGGACUACAGGUGCCCACCACCACGCCCAGCUAAUUUUUUGUAUUUGUAGUAGAUAUGGGGUUUCACCGUGGUCUCGAUCUCCUAACCUCGUGAUCCGCCCGCCUCGGCCUCCCAAAGUGCUGGGACUACAAGCGUGAGCCACCGCGCCCGGCCACAGAUUCUUAUAUGUAAUCUGGCCCCUCUCCAUCUUCAUAGCACUUACCACUACUGAAAUUAUUUUGUCCACUUGUUUGUUUACUCACUUAUUGUCUGACUUUCCUCCUCUUUAAAAUGUCAUCUCUGAGGAGGGCAGAAACCGUGUCUGUCUUCACCACUAAAGCCCCAGUACUUGGAACGGUGCCUGGCACAUAGUAAAUGCUCACUACUGAAUGAAUGAAUCUCCAUCCCAUAGAGGUGAUUUGUAUUUACAAGGGAGGACCACGAACUCCCCCAGCAAACCGUGAAUGACACAUUGGCAUUUAACAGCCCGCACCUUUAUUUAUGAUCCAAAGUCCUACUUUAAAUCUGAGGAAGCUGCUGGUAUCUCUGGACAUUUUAAUGGCACAAGAGAUCAGUUAUCACUUGGGGACACACUCCAGGAACUGGAGCCCAGUGGUUGUAGCAGGGAGCUAAGAGCCAAGGCUCCUGCGAACAGAACUUCAAGACAAACCAUGACUUGCCUCCAGGUCCCUUACCCACACACCCUGUACCUCAAUUUACCCAGCAGUUGGCCAGACAUGUUCCUCUCAGUUCUGUGAGUGACAGGAGACAAAAUAAUUCACAGCUGGAGCAUACUGAGAUCCUCAGACAGGAGGUGGUGCAAGCCACACGUCUCAUUAUUCAUAAAACUCUUGAUUUGCGGCCAACACGGCCCCCGCCGCCUUCCCAGGGGCUAACCUGACAACAGGCACUGCUCAGACAAGUUCAGCUCACAAGGCAGAGGGAGGGAUGGAGGGCCUAGCAGAGGCUGGGUGUCCAGACCUGAGUGUCUCGGUUACCAGGUUCCAAAAAAAGGAAGGUGGUUGGGGUGGGGUGAUGAAAAGGAGGUGAGAGGUGCAGUUUGGGGCUCCAGGUGGUUAAUUUUGCAGGUUCGUGCAUACACGCCCGCCAUCCAGGUGAGAUAUGUGCCCCCACCAGGUACCUUCCAGGAAGGCUCACCGGGGAGGGGUGGAAUCGGGAGACGACAGUUCAAUCAAACUACAGAGGGAGGAAGGGCGGCCCAGCGUUUAGUUUGGGGAAAU
rnacentral:lncRNA from 1 species